CCUACGGGUGGCAGCAGUGAGGAAUAUUGGUCAAUGGACGCAAGUCUGAACCAGCCAUGCCGCGUGCAGGAAGACGGCUCUAUGAGUUGUAAACUGCUUUUGUACGAGGGUAAAUCCCGAUAAGUGUAUCGGGUUUAAAGGAUCGUAAGAAUUAGGAUCGGCUAACUCCGUGCCAGCAGCCGCGGUAAUACGGAGGAUUCAAGCGUUAUCCGGAUUUAUUGGGUUUAAAGGGUGCGUAGGCGGUCGGAUAAGUUAGAGGUGAAAUCCCGAGGCUCAACUUCGGAAUUGCCUCUGAUACUGUUCGGCUAGAGAGUAGUUGCGGUAGGCGGAAUGUAUGGUGUAGCGGUGAAAUGCUUAGAGAUCAUACAGAACACCGAUUGCGAAGGCAGCUUACCAAGCUACUUCUGACGUUGAGGCACGAAAGCGUGGGGAGCAAACAGGAUUAGAUACCCCUGUAGUC
rnacentral:rRNA from 1 species